rnacentral:lncRNA from 1 species
UAGAGCCAAGAAAACACCAUUAUGCGUCGGUGAUCAGGGAAAGCCUUCUCCACGGUUCCUGUAAGCUACGUGGAUUACCGGUGAGGCCUCACCCAGCAAUCCGGAGCAGGAAGUACAGAACACCCCAGAGGUCGCCUGCACACAACUAACUGAAACCCUCAAUUCAGCGGAUUGGCUUCCACCUUCAAGAGAAAAGCAAAUACUAAGAAAAUCAGUUCCCCCCUGGCACUGACCCUCUUUUCUUUCUGUAAUAGUCAGAGCACCCUGGCGGCGCGGCGCACAGGCACGGACACCUGCUGCAGCCUUGGGGCAGGGCGGCGCAGCGGACAGGCAGUUGGCACAGCAUCAGGGUCUCCAUGCCAGCACCACCACGCACAGGCUGUCAGCUUGGCGAGCUACCCCCACUCUCAGAGUCUUGAUUUCUUGGCUACGCAUUGGGGAUUAGAAAAAAUAAUAACCU